rnacentral:rRNA from 1 species
GAUGAACGCUAGCGGCAGGCUUAAUACAUGCAAGUCGAACGGUAACAGGUCUUCGGACGCUGACGAGUGGCGCACGGGUGAGGAACACGUACACAAUCUACCUUAUACUGGAGAAUAGCCCCGGGAAACUGGGAUUAAUACUCCAUAGUCUUUAAUGAUCACAUGAGAAAUAAAGUAAAGCUUCGGCGGUAUAAGAUGAGUGUGCGUCCCAUUAGAUUGUUGGUGAGGUAACGGCUCACCAAGUCGACGAUGGGUAGCUGGCGUGAGAGCGCGACCAGCCACACUGGCACUGAGACACGGGCCAGACUCCUACGGGAGGCAGCAGUAGGGAAUUUUGGACAAUGGGGGCAACCCUGAUCCAGCCAUGCCGCGUGAGUGAAGAAGGCCU